UACAGAGGUCCCAAGCGUUGUUCGGAUUCAUUGGGCGUAAAGGGUGCGUAGGUGGCGCUGUAAGUCGGGUGUGAAAUUUCGGAGCUUAACUCCGAAACUGCAUUCGAUACUGCGGUGCUUGAGGACUGGAGAGGAGACUGGAAUUCCCGGUGUAGCGGUGAAAUGCGCAGAUAUCGGGAGGAACACCGGUGGCGAAGGCGGUUCUCUGGGCCUGACCUGACGCUGAGGAGCGAAAGCGUGGGGAGCGAACAGG
rnacentral:rRNA from 1 species